UACGGGGGGGGCAAGCGUUGUUCGGAAUUACUGGGCGUAAAGGGCGCGUAGGCGGUUGGAUAAGUCAGCUGUGAAAACCACGGGCUUAACUCGUGGCCUGCAGUUGAGACUGUCUGGCUUGAGUGUGGGAGAGGAGAGUGGAAUUCCUGGUGUAGCGGUGAAAUGCGUAGAUAUCAGGAGGAACACCGGUGGCGAAGGCGGCUCUCUGGUACGUGACUGACGCUGAGACGCGAAAGCGUGGGGAGCGAACAGG
rnacentral:rRNA from 1 species